CUCAUAUUUUAUUCUCAUUUUUCUAUAUUCAUAAAAUUUAAGAUUUUUAGUUGUAAAAAUAAAUAAAUAUAUAAUUUAAACGGUCAUUCAGUUUUUUAAUCAAUUUUAGUUGAUAUAGUAUUCACUUGUAUAUAUAACUAAACUUAUGGUUAUUGUUUAUAUCUAAUUAAUAAAAGAGAACAUAGAACAUAUUAUAUGUGGAACUACAUUUUAGGUCUAUAUAGUGUAAAUAUAUGAUUAUUUAGAAUUAUUUAUUUUUAAAUAGAAAAUCCGGUUCGACCGGUUGAACCGGUCCGACCACUUAACCAGUAGCUUUUUCGAGUUGGUAUCCGGUCCGGUUUUAAAAACAUUGGUUUUAUCCAUAAUUUUUUUUUGGAGUUAACUUUUUUUCUAUAAAUUCGUCACAUUUUGUAUUUUGUCUCCUUUAAAUUAAUUUUUAUUUUUAUCAUCAUUUCGUCGCUUUAAUUAUAGUAUUAAACCUCGAUGGAAAUAUGACUUUGAACUCACUAUAAGUCUAUAACCAUAUAUAAAUUAUAUAGAUAUUGCAACAAUAUCUACUAUCAUGGGUGUAUGUUGUGGUCCUUCCAUGAUUAUCUGAAAGAUAAUUAACCAAUAAAGAUCAAAGUUUAGUACAUAGGCUAUUUGAACUAAUUUACAUGUAAUGGGUAAUCAUAAAUUAAUUAGAGUGAAUCUAAUAAUAGAAAGGUAUAUACCUCAGGGUGGACCUAUCUUUCAAAUCGUAAUUAGGGUUUAUUCCAUAUAGAGCAUGUACAAGCUUAAUGGACAAAAGUAAUCAUGAGUCACGACCCACUAGAUUCAUUAAUGGUCCAUUUUAAAAGCACAUCAACUUCGCUUAUAUUUUAAUGUACACUCUUAGUUAAUACACUUGAUCCAAUUGGUCAUGAAAAAAUCUCAUAUAAUAACUUUUAUGUAGUUUUGCUGUCUCUUAGUAUUUUGUUAGAAUAAACAAAAAGAUAAAUUAAGUUGAUAAAAAAAUGAAUCAACUUGGUACUGUUUUGUUGGACUAAUAUAAAAAUAAUUUUACAUUUUGUUUCAGUCACGGCUAUGAAAUCUUAUCUAGAUGAAUGAACUACACAUACAACAAACCAAUCAGUCAGUGGAUUAUGCUCAUCGAUAUAGAUAUAUCAUGAUUCAGAAGUUCUUUUGUCAAACAUAAGCAGUCUUUAUCGUUGAACUUACUUUCGUAUAUAUAUGUAUAAGUGAUAUGAUGAUUCGUCUACAUGUUCAUUUUGUUCCAAAAGAAAAAAAAAGAGACUAAAGUGAAAUAUUAUAAAAUAGUUAGAUCUUUUAUUUGUGUGCAAGGCAGUACGUAACGCACAUAGUUGCAAUGACCAGAAAAUAGUACAUGUGCACUAUAAAAGGCUGUUUAUAAAAUCAUAACAUCACAUCACUAACUGUGGUCAAAACAGUACCACUACAUUACGAAUCUAGUAAAGAUUCAGAUCCAUGCAUUAGUUUCAUUUCCUAAUUAUUUAUAAUAGUUUAGUUUUAUUGAUAUUUACAAUAUCAAUACUCUUAACGUUUAAAUUCCUGAAAUAUAUAACACGUAAAAUGCAUAAUACUUAUUCUACAGGCCCAAUGUUUUAUUUUUCUUUUCCACUUUUACUACUUUAGGUAUGUUUAUUGUAGUUUCGUAUCAAACGAUCAGAAGGUUUGAGUGUUCGAUUGACGUCGUGUUCAAAACUCCCGUAGAUCUUUAAUUUUGUUUUAAAAAAAAAAAAGUAUAUUUUUAAUAAUUAUAGUUUGAGAAUACUUAUAAUACACCAGAAAGUAUUUGGUAUUCUGCAAAAUAACUCUAGGAUUUUGUAUGCACACGUACACGAGGUUAUGUACAUCCUAGCUAGCCUAAAAGCAAUAUAUAACUUUUUGUAUAAACAAUGUUUCCAGUUUUCACGAAUAUUAUUUUCUUAUUUUUUUUUUGUCAUCUCUUUAUUAUUAAAAGGUCCAAAAAACCAACAAAGGACAACAAAUAUACAAACAAGACCCAACAUAAAGGCCUCAAAGAAAAACGUAAACAUGGACAAACUUAAAAGCCCAAACAGUAGAAAAUUCUAAGGGUGAACAGUGACGCUUCGCCGACAGCACAUAGCCACAUGUAGCUCCUAGAAGGACGAAGAAGACAUGUGGCUCAUAAGCGGAAACGUCACCCACGUAACCGGCCUGAAGCUCGCCGCCGGAGCAUUUAAUCGAGCACUCCACCGGAACACACCGGAAACAGGAAGCUCAAGAUCAAACCGCACCAACAACGACGAAAGACAAUGAAACGCUAAGAAAACUGAAAAACCAAACAAACAAACCGGACAAAUCCAGUUAAAAGAUCAACCCAACAUCGGAGAUGAAACGAUGAUAGGAAGAAAGGUAAGCCGGCCAAUACGGCGCUGGACAUACGGCCAAGAUCAACGCUAUGGAAGCUGCCGCCUGCCAGAAGAGAAGUCGGCCAAGACAACGUUAACGAAACCGCCGCUUGCCAGAGUCAAAGCCCGAACGCUGGAGUUGAUGCCGUUGAGAAUCCGGUGAAUCGAUGGAGAUAACACAUCACCAUCCCGUUGAUUUCACACAGCCAGAAAGAUGAAGCUCUCUCUCUAAAAGAUACGAGAGAGAUAAGAGAGAGAAAGCUUUUUAUUUUAUUUUCUUAUUUAUUAUGUUUAGAGGUCAAGCGAUAAAAUGUAAAAUAAGAAAAACGCAUAUUUGAUCCCAAAAAAACGCAUAUAAAACUUAGAAGAUUGGUGAAUUACCAAAGUUAACAUGGACAACAACAUCAAAGAAGAAACCAGAUUAUAGGUUAUAGAAUUCUUUAGAAAUUAAUUGAAAAAGCAGAAACCUAAAAUUUUAUACAGUCUUAUAAAAACACCAUUGUUGGUUUUUUCAUCAUGAUUUGAGACAAAUAAUAAUAAUAAAACAUGAGAAAAAAAAAGAAUAAAUACAUUCAUUUUAUCUGAUUUUUUGAGAAACCACUAUAUUUAUAAUAUUUUAAGGGUAUCAUUUUUAAAUAUUAAAAGUUAAAUUAUAUUGAAAUAUUAAUAUAUAUAUAUAUAUAUUGCAGUUUUUUUUUUGGACAACUAUGGGGAUGAUUGGUUGGGGCUGUAGAUGCUCUGGACAGCCAAAAUUUAGUCUACAGCUAUAUAUGUCAACCAAUCGAGCUUUGCUUUUUUUUUAAAAACUCACAGCAAAAAAAUCUCUGAAAAAUCAAAAUAUAGCUGUAGAGAGCUUUAUUUUCAGAGCUAAAAAUUAGUGCUUUAGAAAUCUACAGCAAGGAAAGCUACAUCAAAUAAAUCUACAGAUUAAAUUCUACAGCAAAAAAUAUAAAGGUACAACACUUACCAAUCAUCCCCUAUAUAAUAAAGUAUAUAUUACAGUUUAAAAACUGUGUUUGAGAGCGAUAAAUAGAGAGUAAGCAGAAAUUUGGAUGACCAAGAAGCAGACACGUGCAGUGGUCUGGUAAAGGCAACAGUGAUCGAGAAGUCAGCAAGUGUCCGUUAAGACAGCGACACGUGCUCUCGAGCCCGUCGUGAACCACUUGCUCCUCUUUUUGCUUCUCGUUUAUUCUUCUUAAUUACUACUAUUAUUGAAUUCCACAAAUCACAUUAACUAUCCCCCUUAUUAAAGUUGAUUCAAAUUGCGCGAAUGCAAACAUAUAUUUAGCUCUUAAAUUAAUCUAUAGGUGUUUAUUCUAGUAUGAGUUUAAGCGGUGUGACAUAAGAUAUGACAUAAUAUGUAUUAUAAAACAAUAUAUGGGUCUGCAUUCUUGAUAAAUAUGAUUAGUAGGUGGAAAAUAAACUUGUAAAGCUAUCUAGAGUAAAAAGUAGUUAUAUAUAGUAUAUAUGUUUGUUGCAUAUAUAAGCAUAUAUAUGUUUAUUUGCAUAAAUAUGUGUAGUUUUGGGUUUAAUAUCAAUGCUAAAGGAUAACUCACUUAACAUUACGUGAAAUUUAGUUAAAACAAGUUUCGCAGUGUCGCGUUAUAGCUACUUCUCAGCUUAUUUCUUGAUCUUCUAGACCAGUGUUAGGGUGUUUAAGCAUAUUUCUACAAAGAAUCAAACAAUGUGAUGAAUACUACUAUCAUUUAUUUUGGACCCUCGAGACGAAGUAAUAUUGCCAAGCUUUCUAUAAAGAAGACUUUCCGAUCAAUGGUUAAAGAGAUCAAAAGAUGCUAACUCCCUGAGGUUAGCUACUCAGUCUCCAAUACAGAUCACUUGAAAUUUCGUACUCAAAAGAGGAUAAGAUUCUCGCGUAGAGAUAUUAUCUCAUAGUAGGUUACAAAAAAAAAACGAUUUAACUCAUUAUAGCUACAAAAUGCUUAAAGCAGAUAUUUACAUAUGUUCGCCCUAAUUCUCUCCCAGACGUGAAUAUCGAGGCGCCGCAUCUGAGACAGCUCUCCGACGCCGGUGGAGCCACUGCUCGCCGGCGUCGACCUCCACGUACUUGUAGUUUCGUUUUGUUGCUUCUUUCCUCCUUGUUCACCCUUUUGUUUCUCUUUUUUCUUUCUCUCGGGUUGGACUGGUCCGCAAGGGGGGUGACUCCGACUGGUGUUUUGGCUUCUGGUUUGAUGUCAACCAUCUCUGUCAAUGCUCACUCUUUCUCUGCCCCAGAUCUAGCAUCUGAGCUUUUCUAUGGUGCUCAAUCACCGCUCAAUCACAAACCUUCUCUUCUGGAUCUGAGAUCCGGAUCUGAACCCUUCUCGGAAAACCUCCGAAGAUUACUCUCCAUCACCUUCGUGCACGGGCUAGCCGCUGGUAUGGUAGGAGGCAGAUGGACCUCCAUCAACGAGAGCUCUGCACUUCACUUUAAAACAGACACUACGCCUAUUCUCGAUGCUCGAGUUCCACUCCUAUCGCGACAACCAGAGCUGAAAACACGAUGUCGAUUCUCCAGCUCCAUCCCGACAGCGUUAUGUCCUACUCUGACCUGUCUCACCAAUCUUCCUGAACCUUCUUGUUCACUGCAGAAAAAAAUCACAAGCCAUGACGGCUCUGAGCUCUCACCGCAAAUCCUCGCAGAUGUACACAACAACGAAAGCUUACUCUCCUUAAGCUUUUCAGACUUCAUUGACCAGAGGCUCGACUUUGGUUCUGGCAAAUCCUUAUGGCUCCAACACGGUAAUGUUGGAAGUGAAAGUAUAUGCCUGGACUCACUGCUUGCCCCUUUGGAAUCUAUUGAGAAGCUCAUCCUUAUGCCCGUUGACGUGAAGGUAAAAAGAUCAGUAUUGCCUAAUUUGUAUCAUUCAUGUCUUCAUACCAUUGUCUUAGGCGCACAUCAUACAUGCUUCAUGAGUUCGUGCUUUACAUUGUCAAUUUCUGUUCGACCGGCCUGUGUUUGUGGGAUUCAACACUUAGUUUGGCGACACAAGUUGAAACAUCCACGAGUGAUAGACUCAGAAGUACAUACGUUCCUCCUUAGUGCAAUCUUUGGAAUUGUUCCAAAUGUCUCAAGUGUAACUCACCAUCAACGUCCAACUCCGACAAGAGCAAGUACCACAUCAAUAUUAUUAUUAUUAUGUUGGAAUCUAUCGAAGCUUGAAGAUUGUAGUCCUUUAGCUUUUUCCACUCUUAGAAAGGCUAGCCAAACUUCCUCAUGCCAGGGCCAUGAGAGAUCCUUUCCCACCUUCCUCCGCUUUGCAGGAGUGACAACUUCCAUCAAAGACUUCCUUCAUGAGAAGGACCCCUGUCUUGGCUGCAUAGCCAAUGAUCAUUGUCGAUUUCCUUACCGCUUGAUACCUUGUGUGAUGGUUCGUUUGGGACCGGAAGGUACAACGAUACUCACCCCGGUGAGAAUCGAGGUUGUGGAGCGCCCACCGUCACAAUAUACGGUGACUAUUUCUGGUGAAGAAUUUGAAGGACGGUGUAAUCUCUCUAGAGGUUUCCUCGUACGUGGCACCUUUGAUAACUCUUCCAACUUGUUAUCAAGUUUAUCUAAGCUUGUGUCUCUAUCUCUUUACUGCCUUGUAUUGAACGUUUUCCUUAGGAUCGCACAUCCAGUCUUAGAUGUUGCUUUUAUCUUUGUAGCUGGCUAAAUUAUGAAUGAAAUAUGUUUGUGUUACAAAAAAAAAAAAAAGAAGAUAUUUACAUAUAUAUUGUGCAAGUAACUGUCUCCAUCCACACACGUACAUUUAGGAAUAAAUUUGUAUAAACCAUCGAGCACAAGCUACAGAGUAAGUAGGUAAUGAUAUUCAAGUUAUGUAGGCCUAAUACGAUACGACCUAGUUGAAAAAGAUCCGACUUCAUUUUUCUCGUCUUUCUUUUGAUGAUAUCUCUAUUUGCUUCUUUUUUUUUAAAUGUAUCAUCAGAAUAUAACCACAAAAAUUACCGAAUACAACAUGCAUAAUCAGUCACCAAUCAGAAUACCAACCAAAAUCUUGAAGGUGGUCAACUUAAAUAAUUUUUGAAAAGACAUAUCUACAAAGCUUCUACAUUUAACAAAAAAAAAAAACAAAGCUUCUACAUGUAUUACCUUUUUAUUUGCAAUAAUGCUAUAGCCAACGAUCCCACAUCAAUGGUUUAUUUAGCUAUUUCUAUUAAUUUCAAGAAUUGAUUUAGUUUUGUAUCACACUUAAUAAAAGUAUAUGUUUUGAAUUUUAUUUUAAAGUUGGUAAAUAUAUAAACUGUUGUGUGCGUGUCUUAUUUAAUGCCAAAAUCAGACAAAUUUUGUCCGCUUUGAAAAAAUUAAACCAUUUUACAUUAAAUAGGGGAAUAUGGCAAUUCCAAUAUUUAAAUCUUUUACAUCCAAUAAAAUUAAACCAUUUUAUAUUCAAUAAAUCAUAAAUAUUAUUUCCAAGCUAAAGGAUGAUAAUUUAAUUCAGAUAUUUUAUAGAGGAAUAUGGCAAUUGAGUGAAAAAGUCAUGUAAUAAAGGGUAGAACUGGAAAUAAACAGAGAAGACUGGUUUGUGUCCAAUCUCUCUCUCUCUCUCUCUCUCUGAUCAUCACUCCUUUAAAUCACCAUCAAAGAAAUUCCAAUUUUCUCGGAUUUUCUUUCUAAAUUGUUAUUCUCACAAUCCCUAAAACCCUAGCCCUCUUUCACGCAACCCAGCUCAAAGCUCAAGCUCCUCUGUUCCUGCCUGAGAUUGUUUCAGGCAGUGCUUUUGAUGACUCUGCAAACACAGCUGCAGACAAGCUUAAACGAAGCAUGUAUCUACUGACUUUGAUGGUGAAAUAUCAAAAACCCUAAUUUAAUUUAAUUUAAUUUUUCUUUUCCUGAAUUUUUCCUCUGAGGGUUUUUAUCAUCAAUGCUCACACAUUACACAGUGGGUAAGCAAUAAAAACUUCAAAGUCCCAACCUUUACUCCUUUAAAUCCCAAUAAAACCCACACAGAAAAAAAAACCCUUUAGAUUUUUAAUUUUGGGGGGAGGGAACAAAAAAAAAUGCCCUAAAUGGUUAUA